GGUUCUUCAAUCUCAAAUCAAAUAAUCUGUGGAGUCCCCUCCAGCUCUGAAAUUCUCUCUAGGUCUUAGCGUGUGUGGAAUAGCCAGGAAACCAGCCCAGGAGCCUUGACUCCCAGCCAUUCUCCCAUGCUCCAGGUGGAGGGAGAAAGUGCACACAGGCCCACCAAAGCCACAAGGACACGACUGCUUGAGAAACAAUUGUACAGGCAAAGGCCCAGCACAGUGGCCAGAGGCCCUGAUAACUCCUGUCCUCUUCUAGAUAGACCCCACAUCUGCCGGGGCCUUCCUCUACCCUCUGCUGAUCCUAACUCGUUAAACUCAGUUUGCAAGUUUCCUGCCAGGAAUUAGCCCAGUGGCUGGGAGGCGGUGGGCAGGGGAACCCUUUUUCCUUGUAACAGCAACAACCCAAGGCAGCCCAUACCCCAGAAACAGCCUGUCAGAAGUUGCCAGUGCUCUGUGUAGCAAGGAAUUGCAGAUUCCCUCCUCACACCUUGGUCCCAAUCCCAUGACCCUCCCGACCCUCACACUCACACCUGUCUCAGGAGUUCGUCACUCACCUGUCUCCACAGACUGCAGAAAGUAGAUGGGGUGGGGGUGGGGGGAAGGGCCGGAGCGGGUAGGUGGAGCCCACUGGCCCCACCCUCUUUUUCUUUUCCAAUCCCUCUGUUCUGGCCCAGUCAGUCUCCGCCCCUUUUCUCCCUAAGGCUGACUUCCAACUGCUGCACCUUGAUUUGUUCUGGUUUUUACUCUCUCCACCCACCCCUACUGUGCCCUAAUGAGAGUGCACCCCUUACUCCCAAUGAUCUUUGUACUUAGGACCAGAGUUAGCAUUAACCUUUCCCUCUCAGCGCAUAUUGUAUGUUAAUUACAGCCCUGGGCAGUUUGCCUUCUAUUUGAUAAUUUACCUUGUGCCUCUCUCCCAAGUGACUGGAAGGAGAGACCUCGGCUUAUUUAAUCUCUGUAGAUCAGCACACAGUGCAUUGCACACAGGAAGCAAUGCUGUGGGCAUGGAAUGGUGUGUCCUGCUUCCAUUGCCCAAGUGCUAUUUUUGCGGACUCCCCGUUUUCUGCAGACCUGUGAGAAGUAUGUGUGUGUAUACUUCUUGACCCAGUUAACUCCUGAGUCUUCAAGAUCCUCCUCUGAGGUGAUGCUGCUUUGGAGCCUGCUCCAGUGUAUCCACACUGUUCCUUCCUAAAUCUGUUCCACCACCUGGUUAUGUAGCAUUUUUCUGUUUACUGAUUUUCCUUCCACUGUGAGUUUCUCAAGGUGCGUGAUUAGUUUUAAUCAUCUCUGAAUCCUGGAACUAACAUGGUCCUGACACGUGGUAGGGACUAGAAGGCUCCCCUCUCACCAGGCUUCACCACACCUGUGAAGAUCCAGGAGCCAUUCUUUUCAGUUGUGGGUCAGGCAGUUAAGUCUGAGUAGGGGAGGUGCUUGGAGGUAGAGGGUGGGUAGAAUCAUACUUUGUUCUUGAGCCAGAGGGUGAACAAGACUGGGCCCCGUUCCUUCAGAGGGUGACCAGCAGACAGACCAAGGGGAGCUGCAGACCAUGGGCACAAAUCCAAUCUAGGCUUCCCAGGGACAGCUGGGGUGCGGGAGCAUAGCAGAGGGUGUGUGUGUGUGUAUAUAUGUGUGUGUGUGAGAGAGAGAGACAGUAUGAGAAUAAGGAUAACUGUGUCUGUAGUGGUUGGUAUAUAUAUGUAGGCACUGGUGGGAUAUUGAAGAUUCUCUGUCCCAUAGCCCCACAUCCAUAGCGGAGAGAGGAAGGAGACAUAACAGGAAGGCUGUGGGAGUCUAAAUGAGGUGUGCCUCUAUGUAAAGUAGGCACGGAAGUGAGAGGGGGCUGAUUGUUGUUCUGUUUCAGCCAAUUUCCUCACUGUUCUGCUCAUAAGGGGAAAGUACGGCUGGAAUCAGGACUUCAGUCUACAGUUAACAUAUGAAUAGAAGGAAAUUGGCCAAGGGUCAUUGGUGUGUGUGAUAGGAAAGGGGGGUUUGUUAAGGAGUGAGUUGUAGGGAUGGGAAGGUGUAGGCUAAGCCGCACGGGGCCAAAGGGUAUGGGCCUGAGGUGUAAGGGGAGAGUCUGGGAGAGGCUGGACCUUUGUAGCUUAAGUCUCUUGGUUGCCUGAAGGAGAGUGCAAUAGAUAAGAACUGGAUCCCAACUGGAGAGGCUAGACUGCUGACUGGGUGUGCCGUUCAUACAGUCUCAAUUCCAGUAAUGUAAAAUCAAGUUUUUAAAAAUUGCAUUUGUUAAAAAAUAAACAUGACAAUAUUUAAAAGCUAAAGAAAAAUAAUCAUCUACUGUUGCGGGAAGUCAGGGACCCCAAAUGGAGGGAUCAGCUGAAGCUGUGGCAGAAGAACAUAAAUUGUGAAGAUUUCAUGGACAUUUAUUAGUUCCUCAAAUUAAUACUUUUAUAGUUCUUAUACCUGUCUUUACUACAAUCUCUGAACAUAAAUUGUGAAGAUUUCAUGGACA